rnacentral:misc_RNA from 1 species
GAUGAAGAACGUAGCGAAAUGCGAUAAGUAGUGUGAAUUGCAGAAUUCAGUGAAUCAUCGAAUCUUUGAACGCACAUUGCGCCCCUUGGUAUUCCAUGGGGCAUGCCUGUUCGAGCGUCAUUUGUACCCUCAAGCUAAGCUUGGUGUUGGGUGUUUGUCCACUCCCUCGUGUUUGGACUCGCCUUAAAACAAUUGGCAGCCAGUGUUUUGGUAUUGAAGCGCAGCACAAUUUGCGAUUCUAGCCUAGAAUACUAGCAUCCAUCAAGUCAUUUUUAACGCUUGACCUCGGAUCAGGUAGGGAUACCCGCUGAACUUAAGCAUAUCAUAAGCGGAGGA